rnacentral:rRNA from 1 species
UACGAAGGGGGCUAGCGUUGCUCGGAAUCACUGGGCGUAAAGCGCACGUAGGCGGCUUUCUAAGUCAGGGGUGAAAUCCUGGAGCUCAACUCCAGAACUGCCUUUGAUACUGGAGAGCUUGGGUCCGGGAGAGGUGAGUGGAACUGCGAGUGUAGAGGUGAAAUUCGUAGAUAUUCGCAAGAACACCAGUGGCGAAGGCGGCUCACUGGCCCGGUACUGACGCUGAGGUGCGAAAGCGUGGGGAGCAAACAGG